CCGCCUGGGGAGUACGGCCGCAAGGUUAAAACUCAAAUGAAUUGACGGGGGCCCGCACAAGCGGUGGAGCAUGUGGUUUAAUUCGAUGCAACGCGAAGAACCUUACCUACUCUUGACAUCCACGGAAUUUGGCAGAGAUGCCUUAGUGCCUUCGGGAACCGUGAGACAGGUGCUGCAUGGCUGUCGUCAGCUCGUGUUGUGAAAUGUUGGGUUAAGUCCCGCAACGAGCGCAACCCUUAUCCUUUGUUGCCAGCGAUUAGGUCGGGAACUCAAAGGAGACUGCCAGUGAUAAACUGGAGGAAGGUGGGGAUGACGUCAAGUCAUCAUGGCCCUUACGAGUAGGGCUACACACGUGCUACAAUGGCAUAUACAAAGAGAAGCGACCUCGCGAGAGCAAGCGGACCUCAUAAAGUAUGUCGUAGUCCGGAUUGGAGUCUGCAACUCGACUCCAUGAAGUCGGAAUCGCUAGUAAUCGUGGAUCAGAAUGCCACGGUGAAUACGUUCCCGGGCCUUGUACACACCGCCCGUCACACCAUGGGAGUGGGUUGCAAAAGAAGUAGGUAGCUUAACCUUCGGGAGGGCGCUUACCACUUUGUGAUUCAUGACUGGGGUGAAGUCGUAACAAGGUAACCGUAGGGGAACCUGCGGUUG
rnacentral:rRNA from 1 species